GGGGAAUUAGCUCAGCAAGGAGAGCGCUUGCAUGGCAAGCAAGCGGUCAGCGGUUUGUUAGUCCCCACCA
rnacentral:tRNA from 1 species